UAUUAAUGAAAAUACGAGUAUUGAUCAGGGACUGGGACAUUUCUACAGAAUCACCUGGACUGUAACAGGUAACGAGUGUCACUGUAACAGGUAACGAGUGUCCCUGUAACAGGUAACGAGUGUCCCCGUAACAGGUAACGAGGGUCCCCGUAACAGGUAACGAGGGUCCCCGUAACAGGUAACGAGUGUCCCCGUAACAGGUAACGAGGGUCCCCGUAACAGGUAACGAGUGUCACUGUAACAGGUAACGAGUGUCACUGUAACAGGUAACGAGUGUCCCCGUAACAGGUAACGAGUGUCCCCGUAACAGGUAACGAGUGUCCCCGUAACAGGUAACGAGUGUCCCCGUAACAGGUAACGAGUGUCACUGUAACAGGUAACGAGGGUCCGCCGCUGUGGACCGGCGCUCAUACCUUGUGUCUGCCGCGGUAAACGUUGGCCGUGGCUCCCUG